rnacentral:lncRNA from 1 species
CUACAUUUCAAUAUUGGAAAGUUUUUUAAACCUACUAAAUUUUUUAGAAAAUUUGCCAAAACCUAUCUAAGCUGUAGCUUUAAGUUUAAGCAUUUGUUACUGCUUUCAUUUUUGCGACAAAAAAAUACUACAUUGUAAUCUUGGCACCUCAAAGUUAAGCUGUGGUGUUGAAUUUUACUAAAGGUUGAUAGAUUUUUUUUCGCAAAAAUAUGUUGUAAGAUAAUGCCGGGGAAAACCUUUUUAGUAUCAAUGAGUUUAAUCUCACUGUUUACAAUCAACUUUAUUUCUCUUAUCGAAGUUGAUUGUUUCUUUUUGAAUGGCGCAUUUUAAAAUUGUUUGAUUCUAUUCGCUGUUUCUAAAUUCUUGUUAUUUUAUUUAUAUGUUAAAUGAUUUUCCUGUUGAAAUUCCGUAGUUUACUUCCUUUUAAAAAUAAAUCCUAUGGUGCUUGUCUAUACAAACAUGAAGUUCUAACCAUAUGCCUCGCCUGAAAUUCAAAAGAAUGUACGUCAAACGUAUUUUUGAACAUGUAGACC